rnacentral:rRNA from 1 species
UAGGGAAUCUUCGGCAAUGGACGAAAGUCUGACCGAGCAACGCCGCGUGAGUGAAGAAGGUUUUCGGAUCGUAAAACUCUGUUGUUAGAGAAGAACAAGGACGUUAGUAACUGAACGUCCCCUGACGGUAUCUAACCAGAAAGCCACGGCUAACUACGUGCCAGCAGCCGCGGUAAUACGUAGGUGGCAAGCGUUGUCCGGAUUUAUUGGGCGUAAAGCGAGCGCAGGCGGUUUCUUAAGACUGAUGUGAAAGCCCCCGGCUCAACCGGGGAGGGUCAUUGGAAACUGGGAGACUUGAGUGCAGAAGAGGAGAGUGGAAUUCCAUGUGUAGCGGUGAAAUGCGUAGAUAUAUGGAGGAACACCAGUGGCGAAGGCGGCUCUCUGGUCUGUAACUGACGCUGAGGCUCGAAAGCGUGGGGAGCAAACAGG